AUAGUACUCCCUCCGUCCCAAAAUUCCUGUCUUAUAUUUGUCUAGAUACGGAUGUAUCAAGUCACAGAUACAUCUGUAUCUAGACAAAUCUAAGACAAGAAAUUUGGGACAGAGGGAGUAGUUG
rnacentral:pre_miRNA from 1 species